ACAACACACAGGGAUUCUUCAUAUUGGGCUUUGCUCACAUUUGGUCCACAAGUUUGUAGGGCGUAUGGCCCGUUUACCUUUUAUAAAAAGAAAUGAAGUUGUAAAAAGGAAUUUGACAAGCUUUCUUCAUACCCCUGGUAAGAAACCUGCUGCUGCAACCAAGAAGAAGUUGUAAAAAGGAAUGAAGAAUAUGUAAUGCAGAAACUUGCUGCUGCAACCAAGCUUUCUUCAGGCUUUAAAUUUGAUUAUGCUUACAUCUUCUGAGUUGGGGUUACUAGCAUACGAGUUCUGUGAUCCAAUCUCUAACAGAAGAGGAUAUCAAUGUAAAAUUUUUGGUUUAGUUGGAUAAACUGAUCCACCUAUUGGAGACUCUAAUUUUUUGCUUAUCUUAGGCUUCAGGUAACUUAUAUAUGUAUAUACAUUCAUUAUUAAAGUUGAGCGGGUAUGGUUUGAUAUGCGAUAAAGAUGUAUGGAAAAUACUUGGUUUAUUGUUUAUGUUUGUUUUUUUAUAGCUUCUUGAAGCUGGAAGAUAUAUAUAUAUAUAUAUAUAUAUAUAUAUAUAUAUAUAUAUAUAUAUAUAUAUAUAUAUAUAUAUAUAUAUAUAUAUAUAUAUAUAUAUAUAUAUAUGGUUGUUAAAAGCGUUGUAUGGUCUGUUGAUGUUCUUCCCCAGGUAUAUAUAAUAUAUGUGAUGUGAAAGACUUGUAAUAAAGUGAAUUGAGUGUAAACUGUAAAUGUUGGUGGGUUGUUGCAGCAAAGUGUAACUUUUAAGAUAUUAAGAACUUGUUUAAAGAUGGUUCCUUCAUAUUCAUAUUCCUAUUCUUUUACCAACAACAACCAGAAUGAGAAUGAGAGUGAUAAUGGAAUAAUAAUGAUAAACUUUGAAAGUUGGCUGCAAAAAUAUCAACAAAUGUAGAAGCUGCAUCGUCUUCAUUCUAAAUCACAACACACUGCUUCCAUACCGAUACCCUCAAAGGUUUAUUUUGUCAUGUAAUUUAUUCUAAAAAUUUGUUAGGAAAUUAAAAAGCUGAUAAGAAUUUUGCAGGAAGUUGAAAAAACACAAGAAUCUUCCAAUAUUCUUCCAGAUAUGAAUCUCUUGAGCAGGCCACCUUCCAGAUUCUCUCGUAAAGCUCCUUGAUUUCAUUGCCUAUGGUGUAUGGUGGUAUAAAGUGUAAAUUAUAGUAUUGUUCAUUUAUUUAUUUACUUUUGUUGAACUGGUAUUGUGGGUGGGUCUUGUGGUUGUUUUAUUUUUCUUCAAAACCACAGGGGUAGAUAAGCUAGAUAUUCAUUUUCAAGUUGCUGAUUGUUGCAUCUCAUACAAUUGUUUUUAUAAUAUAUUGCUGGUUGAGUAAAUUUCGUA